GUUAGGAAUAUUGGACAAUGGGCGCAAGCCUGAUCCAGCCAUGCCGCGUGAACGAUGAAGGCCUUCGGGUUGUAAAGUUCUUUAGCCGAUGAUUAUAAUGACUGUAGUCGGAAAAUAAGCCCCGGCUAACUUCGUGCAGCAGCCGCGGUAAUACGAAGGGGGCGAGCGUUAUUCGGAAUCACUGGGCGUAAAGCGUGCGUAGGCGGUCUCGUAAGUUAGGAGUGAAAGCCCAGGGCUCAACCUUGGAAUUGCUCUUAAAACUGCAAGGCUAGAAUCUCGGAGAGGAUAGCGGAAUUUCCAGUGUAGCAGUGAAAUGCGUAGAUAUUGGAAGGAACACCAGUGGCGUAAGCGGCUAUCUGGACUGAUACUGACACUGAGGUGCGAAAGCGUGGGGAGCAAACAGGAUUAGAAACCCUAGUAGUCC
rnacentral:rRNA from 1 species